AGCAAGCCGCCCUCGGGGAGGUGCCGCUUGCCCGCCCCCGGCGCCCUCCGGGACCCGGGGGGAAUGUCCCGGCCCUGGCUCCGAGAAGCGCUUUGCUCCGCCCGGCGUGGCUGCUGUCUGCUGGCCCUGAAGCUCGCGGUGUUCCGAAAUGGCCGAGCCGUCGGACCAGGCCGUCAAGUACUACACCCUGGAGGAGAUCCAGAAGCACAACCACAGCAAGAGCACCUGGCUGAUCCUGCACCACAAGGUGUAUGAUGUGACCAAAUUUUUGGAGGAGCAUCCUGGUGGGGAAGAAGUCUUACGGGAACAAGCCGGAGGGGAUGCUACUGAGAACUUUGAAGAUGUUGGGCACUCAACAGAUGCUAGAGAAUUGUCCAAAACAUAUAUCAUCGGGGAGCUGCAUCCAGAUGACAGACCAAAGAUAACCAAGCCCACGGAUUCUUAACGGCCAUGUUCCCAGGAAACUCUCAUUACUACGAUUGACUCAAAUUCUAGCUGGUGGACCAACUGGGUGAUUCCAGCCAUCUCCGCACUGGUUGUGGCCCUGAUGUACCACCUCUACAUGGCAGAAGACUAAACACCUCCACAGAAGCCGAUGGGAAAAAAGGCUGCCUUGGAUCAAGAAGAAAGAAGCCAGUGUUAGCUGCUUCGACGAACAGAAACCUUCACCUGAAAAGUAAUUUUAAUACACCUAUUUCCCCCUCCUACGUUAGAAACAAACCAAGUCAAAAAGAACUGUUCUGUUCUGUCUACCCUUGAACUUUCGCAUUGUGCCUUCUUCCUCAUCAACUCUUUUCAACGUCCCACGACUACGUGAUUUACUCACUGUAGGCACGAUCUUUCGAAAAUGCACCUGGCUUUUCAAAUAUACCACCCUGUGUGCCUGUCAGUGUGGGAUGUAAUUGUCUUUAAUGUUUCAAAUCUCUGAUUGUCUAGCGGAGUCAUUUAAUGUAUUAAUUAAAUGAAGGUCGUAUGACGUGAAGGUUUGUAUGAUGUGAGGAAGGGAAUAUCUAGUUGAAAACUUGGUAUUGCAUGUUUCCUAUUUAAUUUCUUUCUCAAGGAAAUUAAGAAAGGCCCUGGGUAUGAUAGCCUAAAGAUGUCUAAAAAUUGUUCUACCUGAGAUGAUCAAAAGAAAAAGUGGAGAUUUCUUCUCUUCUUUGUUUAAAAAAUACCAGCAACAAAAAACAAACUUGAAGCCCAUGAGAGGACAGUACAGCUGUCUUCUCUCUCAGCUCCAAAAUAUCAGUCCAAAGUUUUGGGUUAUAUAGGUUCUCAAGGUGAAAACUGUUUGUGUAUUCUUGCAAGGAAAUGCUGAUUUUCUAAUCCAUAAAAAUACACAUUUGAAAGAGAUUGUGGGGCAUUUGGAAUCUGAUGUUUGAAGGCAUUGAGCUGUCGGAGAUGAGCCUUGGGGGAUCUAGCAGGGCUCCGAGGACUGAGUGGCUCAUCUCCGAUUAUUUUCUCUGCCCCAUGCUUUUUGUCUUUCAAAGUGGAAGCCGGGGGAUGAAUCUGUAGACACUCAGUGCUCUAGUUAGCUUUGACUGUGCAAGUUUUCAUGGGCAUGCUAGCUGACUACAGAGGUGAGGGUUCUUCAGAAACCACUGACACACUGAAAGGAAUUUUUUUUUUACUACAGAGAAUAAAUUUUUAUAACCCUUGACAUGUAUCACCCUUUGCAUCUUCUGUCACUGAAAGUUAAAGUUGGAGCAAAUCUAGGGGGUGGGGAAAGAUGCUGUAUCAUGGGGGAAUCCUUUACUCAGAUUUCAAUAAACGCAUGCCUGGAACAAAA